GACGAACGCUGGCGGCGUGCCUAACACAUGCAAGUCGAACGAGAAUCGUAUGACGGAGGCUUCGGCCAACUGAUUACGAGGACAGUGGCGGACGGGUGAGUAACGCGUGAGCAACCUGCCUUGGAGUGGGGGACAACAGAGGGAAACUUCUGCUAAUACCGCAUACGAUCUGAGGAUGAAAGCGGGGGACCUUCGGGCCUCGCGCGAUUGGAGCGGCCGAUGGCAGAUUAGGUAGUUGGUGGGAUAAAAGCUUACCAAGCCGACGAUCUGUAGCUGGUCUGAGAGGACGACCAGCCACACUGGGACUGAGACACGGCCCAG
rnacentral:rRNA from 1 species